rnacentral:rRNA from 1 species
UACCAGCACCCCGAGUGGUCGGGACGAUUAUUGGGCCUAAAGCAUCCGUAGCCGGUUCUACAAGUCUUCCGUUAAAUCCACCUGCUUAACAGAUGGGCUGCGGAGGAUACUAUAGAGCUGGGAGGCGGGAGAGGCAAGCGGUACUUAGUGGGUAGGGGUAAAAUCCGUUGAUCCAUUGAAGACCACCAGUGGCGAAGGCGGCUUGCCAGAACGCACUCGACGGUGAGGGAUGAAAGCUGGGGGAGCAAACCGG